AUGGCUAACAAUUACUGUGUUAGCUUCCUGCUGUUCUUCACUGCACUGAUUUCUCUACUACCCAAAUCUUACCCAGAGUCCACAAAUCAGUAUAGUGAUGAACACCAAAUCCUUCUGGGACUCAAGAGAUACUGGGGGAGCUCAACUGUGCUUGGCAGAUGGAACUCCAUUUCCUCUGACCACUGCAGAUGGGGAGGACUUACAUGCACAAAAGGUGAGGUCACUGCCAUCUCCCUUCCACAGCAAACCCUUAUGAAACCAAUCCCACCGUCCCUUUGCCUCCUCAAGAAUCUUGCCUACUUGGACCUCUCCUACAACAACUUCUCCACUUCAUUCCCUACAAUACUCUACAAUUGCUCCAAUCUGAAGUACCUGGACCUUUCCAACAACGCCUUUGGUGGGAAACUCGCAGCUGACAUAAACAGUUUAUCAGCAAAGCUAGAGCAUCUCAACUUAUCAAGCAAUCGCAUCAUGGGCGAAAUCCCACCAUCCAUUGGAUGGUUUCCAAAGCUCAAGUCACUGAUCCUCGACACCAAUCAAUUUGAUGGAAGCUAUCCAGUACAGGACAUAAGCAAUCUAGCCAACCUCGAGAUGCUGACUCUGGCGGACAAUCCAUUUCUGCCAGCUCCAUUCCCAGUUGAGUUUGGUAAGUUGACACGCCUCACAUACUUGUGGCUGUCAGGUAUGAACAUGACAGGUGAGAUACCUGAGAGCGUAUCAAGCCUCACAGAGCUCAGCCUCUUGGCCGUGACAAAUAAUAUGCUGCAAAGCACAAUUCCGACAUGGGUAUGGCAGCAUAAGAAGCUUCAGUACUUGUACAUGUUUAACAACGGUUUGACAGGCGAGAUUUCAUCCAGUGUCACAGCCGUAAACUUGGUGGAGCUUGAUGUGUCCUCAAACAAUCUAACAGGGUCAAUACCAGAUGACUUUGGUAAGCUCAUCAACCUUACCCUGUUGUUUCUCUACACGAAUCAACUUCAUGGGUCAAUACCGCCAAGCAUUGGGUUGCUGCCGAAUCUCAGAGACAUCCAGCUAUUUGAGAACAUGUUAACUGGUUCUCUUCCACUAGAGCUCGGAAGGCACUCACCGCUAGUCAAUCUUGAAGUCUGCGACAAUAACCUUUCUGGUGAGCUGCCAGCUGAUCUUUGCUUCAACAGGAAAUUAAAUGACAUCGUUGUGUUCAAUAAUAACUUUUCUGGAAAGCUUCCAGAAUCGCUAGACGGCUGCUAUCUGUUGAACAAUUUAAUGUUGUACAACAAUCAUUUUACUGGAGAGUUCACCAAGAGUAUCUGGUCAGUGGUGAAAAAUCAGCUAACGACAGAUAUGAUCCAAAACAACAAUUUCUCUGGGACCUUUCCUACCCAGCUACAAUGGAACUUUUCACGUAUUGAGAUGAGCAACAACAGAUUCUCUGGUCCCAUUCCAACUUUAGCAGGCAAAAUGAAAGUAUUCAGGGUAGUAAAUAACUUGCUUUCUGGCAAAAUUCCCUGGGAUUUGACGGGCAUUUCACAGGUAGAAGAGCUUGACCUUUCUGGAAAUCAAAUUAAUGGAUCGAUACCCAUGGCAAUUGGAGUGCUAAAGCUCAAAGCACUUAAUCUAAGUGGAAAUCAGAUAUCUGGUAUUGUACCUGCAGCAUUUUGGGUUUAUGUCAGAGCUAACCAUCCUUGA
rnacentral:rRNA from 1 species